CCUACGGGUGGCAGCAGUGAGGAAUAUUGGUCAAUGGGCGCGAGCCUGAACCAGCCAAGUAGCGUGAAGGAAGAAGGCCCUCGGGUUGUAAACCUCUUUUUUCAGGGACGAAACAAAUGACGGUACCUGACGAAUAAGCCACGGCUAACUACGUGCCAGCAGCCGCGGUAAUACGUAGGUGGCAGGCGUUAUCCGGAUUUACUGGGUGUAAAGGGCGUGUAGGCGGGAGAGCAAGUCAGAUGGGAAAUUCCAGGGCUCAACCCUGGAACUGCAUUUGAAACUGGUUUUCUUGAGUGAUGGGGAGGUAGGCGGAAUUCCGGGUGUAGCGGUGAAAUGCGUAGAUAUACGGAGGAACACCAGUGGCGAAGGCGGCCUGCUGGACAUUAACUGACGCGGAGGCACGAAAGCGUGGGGAGCAAACAGGAUUAGAUACCCUAGUAGUC
rnacentral:rRNA from 1 species